GGUAGCUCAAUGGUAGAGUGCUUGCCUAGCAUGCAUGAAGCCCUGGGUUCGAUUCCUCAGUACCA
rnacentral:tRNA from 1 species